GGUUAGCUACGUGCGGAUCGGAUAACCGCUGAAAGCAUCUAAGCGGGAAGCCGGCCUCAAGAUGAGCUCUCCCAUCCCCUCGAGGGAGUAAGACCCCUGGAAGAUCACCAGGUUGAUAGGCCGGAUCUGGAAGAGUGGUGACACUCGCAGGAGACCGGUACUAAUGGGUCGAGGGCUUGACGGA
rnacentral:rRNA from 1 species